rnacentral:rRNA from 1 species
GAUGAACGCUGGCGGCGUGCCUAAUACAUGCAAGUCGAGCGAACGGACGAGAAGCUUGCUUCUCUGAUGUUAGCGGCGGACGGGUGAGUAACACGUGGAUAACCUACCCAUAAGACUGGGAUAACUUCGGGAAACCGGAGCUAAUACCGGAUAAUAUUUUGAACCGCAUGGUUCAAAAGUGAAAGACGGUCUUGCUGUCACUUAUAGAUGGAUCCGCGCUGCAUUAGCUAGUUGGUAAGGUAACGGCUUACCAAGGCAACGAUGCAUAGCCGACCUGAGAGGGUGAUCGGCCACACUGGAACUGAGACACGGUCCCGACUCCUACGGGAGGCAGCAGUAGGGAAUCUUCCGCAAUGGGCGAAAGCCUGACGGAGCAACGCCGCGUGAGUGAUGAAGGUCUUCGGAUCGUAAAACUCUGUUAUUAGGGAAGAACAUAUGUGUAAGUAACUGUGCACAUCUUGACGGUACCUAAUCAGAAAGCCACGGCUAACUACGUG